rnacentral:rRNA from 1 species
AACGAACGCUGGCGGCAGGCCUAACACAUGCAAGUCGAGCGCCCCGCAAGGGAGCGGCGGACGGGUGAGUAACGCGUGGGAAUUUUUCCUGGAGUACGGAACAACCGAGGGAAACGUUCGCUAAUACCGUAUGAUGCCGAGAGGCCAAAGUAUUUAUCGCUCUGGGGUGACGCCCGCGUACAGAUUAGGUAGUUGGUGGGGUAAUGGCCUACCAAGCCCUGCGAUCUGUAGCUGGUCNGAGAGGACGAUCAGCCACACUGGGACUGAGACA